rnacentral:SRP_RNA from 1 species
GUUGAACGUGGUGGUACUCCCCUAUAACACCAGUUAGAGUGGAAGCUGAGGCUGAUGGAUCUCUUGAGCUCAGGAGCUCUGAGCUGCAGUGGGCUAAGCUAAGCAGGUGUCCACACUAAGUCUGCCAUCAAUAUAGUGAGCUCUCUGGAGUGGGGAGCACAACAGUACAAGGUUGCCUAAGGAAGAGUGAACUGGCCCAGGUCAGAAAUGGAGCAGGCUAAAGGUUUUGUGUUAACCAGUAGCAAUUCAUGAGUGAGUAGCCCUUUCAGUUCCAAGUAAGAUACGAAAACCCAGUCUCC